CUCCUUCUCCACAGCGACCGCGACUGCGGCGUUUUCCUUGGCGAAAGGCGGCAGCAGCGGUGGCAUCUUCCUCCGUCGAGCUCUUAUCGCUGCGGCGUUUUCCUCGGCAAACGGUGGAUGCUGCGGUUUCCUCUCCGUCGGCGAACGGUGACAGCGCCCGGUGGAUUUACGUGAUUGGUCGGGGAAUGUUAUCCGAUACAGAUGAUUAGUUGGAAGAUUUCAACUUCCUUUUGGUUGGAAGCAGAUACAGAAAUUAUAUUUAGUUCGGAUGCGCUUGAUUUGAGGUAGAAGAGGCAUUUGGACUUGGAGAGGGCAGCAAUAAAACUACUUUUCUUGUGUUUUUCUGCAAACAGUGUGUGAUACUGCUUCAAAAUAUAAUGUUUUUGGUGCAAAAGAGGCUCUUUUGCAUUCUCCCAUGUAACAAGUCCACCAUCCAUCUUUCUUCCUAUGAAAUCUGCAGUCUGUUUAGUAGCUUUUCCACCGCCAAAGACCAAAUUUCAGAUCAUAAAUCCAACUUUACCGUGGUCAAUUCCCUUCAAUCAUGUGAACUUUCCUCAGAAAAGGCUGCAAAAACAGCCAAGUGUCGCACCUGUCACACAAAA